rnacentral:rRNA from 1 species
CACUCUAGAGAGACUGCCAGGGAUAACCUGGAGGAAGGUGGGGAUGACGUCAAAUCAUCAUGCCCCUUAUGCUUAGGGCUACACACGUGCUACAAUGGGUAGUACAGAGGGUUGCCAAGCCGUAAGGUGGAGCUAAUCCCUUAAAGCUACUCUCAGUUCGGAUUGUAGGCUGAAACUCGCCUACAUGAAGCUGGAGUUACUAGUAAUCGCAGAUCAGAAUGCUGCGGUGAAUGCGUUCCCGGGUCUUGUACACACCGCCCGUCACACCACGGGAGUUGGAGACGCCCGAAGCCGAUUAUAUAACCUUUUGGAAGAAGUCGGCGAAGGUGGAAUCAAUAACUGGGGUGAAGUCGUAACAAGGUAGCCGUAUCGGAAGGUGCGGCUGGAUCACCUCCUUUCUACGGAGA